rnacentral:lncRNA from 1 species
AACCUUUCCACGCCCAUAUGAGAGCCGAAAGGCCAACAAGUGAGCCGAAAAAUACGAGCGGAGCUCGACCGAGCCAUCAUGACGUCAAACCAAAAACUCCUCCGAUGAAUCCCUUCUUGUAUCUCAUUUCCUUCGAUUCUUUGAUCAAUGUGUUCCUCGUCUCUUUCUGAUGCAGCUUAGCUAAAAGGAAAAACUCUUACCGUAAGAGAGGAACGAUAGAGCCGCUGCACCGGAGAACCCUCCUUACUGGUACGGUCUUGAUUUUUUCCUUUUCAUGCUGAUAGAGGCUCCUUAACCUUAUUUUUCGUAGGUUUUCAUGCAAAACCGAUCAAAAAUAACCAAAAUUGGCUGAAAACAACCAAAUCGAAAGGAAAUGUCGCCGUGGGCAGCAGAGCCAACACCAAAGCACAGCGG